rnacentral:rRNA from 1 species
CAGUAGCCGCGGGAAUACGUAGGUGGCAAGCGUUGUCCGGAAUUAUUGGGCGUAAAGCGCGCGCAGGCGGAUAGGUCAGUCUGUCUUAAAAGUUCGGGGCUUAACCCCGUGAUGGGAUGGAAACUGCCAAUCUAGAGUAUCGGAGAGGAAAGUGGAAUUCCUAGUGUAGCGGUGAAAUGCGUAGAUAUUAGGAAGAACACCAGUGGCGAAGGCGACUUUCUGGACGAAAACUGACGCUGAGGCGCGAAAGCCAGGGGAGCGAACGGGAUUAGAUACCCGAGUAGUCCCUGUCUCUUAUACC